rnacentral:sRNA from 1 species
AAUCGGCGCUUGAGACAACAGGCAACGGAAAUUGCCACGCGAGAAUUUUGU